rnacentral:rRNA from 1 species
GAUGAACGCUGGCGGCGUGCUUAACACAUGCAAGUCGAACGGAAAGGCCCUGCUUUUGUGGGGUGCUCGAGUGCCGAACGGGUGAGUAUCACGUGAGUAACCUCCCCUUGACUUUGGGAUAACUUCAGGAAACUGGGGCUAAUAUCGGGUAGGAGCUCCUGCUGCAUGGGGGUGGUUGGUAAGUUUCGGCGGUGGGGGAUGGUCUCGCGGGUUAUGAGCUUGUUGGUGGGGUAGUGGCAUACCAAGGCUUUGACGGAUAGCCGGCCUGGGAGGGUGACCGGCGUCCUUGGUACUACGAGACGGCCCAGCCUCCUACGUGCGGCAGGGGUGGGGAGUAUUACACAGUAGGCGGACGCGUGAUGUGGCGAUGCCGGGAUCGGAAUGACGGGUUACGGGUUGUAAACCGCUUUCGCCGGUGACGAAGCGUGCGUGACGGUAAUUGGUAAGAAAGCAACGGCUAACUACGUG